UACAGAGAGUGCGAACGUUGUUCGGAAUUACUGGGCUUAAAGCGCACGUAGGCGGCAUCGUAAGUGUCCGGUGAAAUCCCACGGCUCACCCGUGGAACUGCCUGGCAGACUGCGAUGCUAGAGUGUGGUAGGGGAGAGCGGAACUCCUGGUGGAGCGGUGAAAUGCGUAGAUAUCAGGAGGAACACCGGUGGCGAAGGCGGCUCUCUGGUCCAUGUCUGACGCUGAGGUGCGAAAGCUAGGGGAGCAAACGGG
rnacentral:rRNA from 1 species